UACGUAGGUGGCAAGCGUUUGUCCGGAAUUACUGGGUGUAAAGCGCGUGUAGGCGGGAGGCCAAGUCUGCUGUGAAAUCGCCCGGCUCAACUGGGCGGGGUCGGUGGAAACUGGUCACCUGGAGGACGGUAGAGGCGAGUGGAAUUCCCGGUGUAGUGGUGAAAUGCGUAGAGAUCGGGAGGAACACCAGUGGCGAAGGCGGCUCGCUGGGCCGGCCCUGACGCUGAGACGCGAAGGCGUGGGGAGCGAACGGG
rnacentral:rRNA from 1 species